GCCAGGAAUGGUAGCACGAGCCUGCAAUUCCUGCUGCGAGAGAGGCUGAGGGAGGUGGAUCACUUGAGCUGGGGAGCUCUGAGAUGCAAUAGGCUACAGCCAAUUUUUGCUGUCUGGCACCAAUGUGGUGAACCCCAAGGAGUACAGGUCCACCAGGCUGCCUAAGGAGCGAUGAACUGACCCAGGUCAGAAAUGGGAGUAGGUCAAAGCUCCUAGGCCAAUUAGUAUGGGAUUGGGAGGUUUUUCUAGCCUGGGACAGAUGGUAAGAUCCAGUCUCAA
rnacentral:SRP_RNA from 1 species